GCCAUACCUGUGAAUCCACUGUUUUCCAUAGGUACUUUUGUAACAAAGACAGUCAAGUAGGAAAAGAGAGGAAGGGUCUGACCAAGAGGGACAUGUAUAAGAGACCCUGGAAUUGAGCCAAUCAAAUGACUGAAAUAUUUGGGUUCUUCUUAGAAGUAGGAAGAUAAAAAAACAACAUCAGAAAAAGAAAAGAGACUUCUAAUGGAAAACAAGCAGGAUCCACUCACAGCCUCAACCCGUGCUGUACGAGAAGCCUUGGGUUUUGCCAUCUGCUUUCAAGUCCAGGAGUUAGCGAUGAUGAUUAACGUCAGUGUCAGCUUGCCUGCAUACAGAAUGCUUCAUUGAGUUUCCCCAGGUGCACAGCAAACAUGACAUUUUGCAGCAAGCAUAGCACUCCUCAAGUGGUGUGAAAAUCCAGAGACACAUUGCCUGCCACUGUGUGCAUAUCUAGUCUUCAGGCUGGAAAGACCCUAAAGAACUCGUGGAACUUGGAUCCUGGACAUUUGAAUGCGUAGGGUCAGUUUACUCAUAUUUUUUACAAAACAAAUGCAUUUCAAAAAAUGACCUUUCCUAAGAUGAGACUAGUUCUUACAACAAAUAAGCUAAAAGAUAUAAGAUUCCUUUCCUUCAAACAGUUCCUAGGACAGUUUAUCAUUCCUCCUUUGUAAGAUUCUGGAAAGUGGCAUAGUCUAUUAUUCCCCAAAGCUGGAUGGACACUGAAAAUUCCCAAGUCUAUGGCUUCAAACUAGCCUCUGAGCACUGUCAAAGUGGAGAUAAUAAUACCUUAUCAUGUAGUUGAAAGAGUUAUAAGAAGUUACAUAUGUAAAGGAUCUUUAUGUAAAUUGAUCAUCAUUGAUCAUUGCUACUUAAAUAUGAGGCAGUUCUAACACAGACUUCAUAAUCAGUAUUGUUAGUUUGUUAUCUGCAUUUGUGGAGAAUAUAGAAAGAAUAUAGAAUAUAGAAGAAUGUAGAAGGAAUAUCAAUAAUUUUUGCCUUACAGAAUGGGAAGAUAAAGCUCACAAAUAUUCCAGAACGAUUUCACACAUUAGUGGUUUUGAAGGUACUAUACAGCGGCCUGAGUGUUUUUCAGCCACAUGCAUUUGCUUAUUAUGCCAUCAAUUCCAUAAUUUUCAAAUGUACACCCCAUAAAAAUAAUUAUUAAGAACCCUAGUUUAUCUAUUACUAUUUAAAUAAUUGGUCCAUUUUAAAAGCCAUGGUUUUAAAUCAUGGGCCUGGAAGGAAGAGUACUUAAUGUUCUCCUUUUGGAAAGGAUACAACCUGCAAAACAAUUUUUAAAAAUAUAUUGGAUCAGUCUGGCUUGUUGCCUCUGUAAAAUCCAAAGCAUCCAUUACCUACGAACAGGACAAGUAGUGCCUUAAUUGCUAUGCUGCCAAAAUGUCGGUGGUGAGUACAGGGACACUGACCGACUGAACAGAACUGGGAUACAAAGCAAUGAACUUAACCAUCCCAUGACAAUUAAUUAAAUUUUUCCUAUUAUCUGGUGGUGGAAUGCCAAAUAUGAAAACAAAGAACCAACCAGACUCCAUCAACCAUAAAGCAGUCCCAUGACAACUCAACACUUACAGAAUUGACUCAACUCUACAGACAUAUUUCUAAUUUAAUAAUAAGUCAGAACUGAAUGAGCCAGGCUUCCUGCUUCCUUCAUGUUACCUCUGGGUGUGAGGAACAGAGGGUAGACAGAGAGGAUUGGAGAGAAGAGUUAAGAAGAGAAACUGGAAAGUCCAGAUUAACGCAGGCUCUACAUUUCAGAAUAUUGAUGUGGUCAGAGCCAAGGGUCCUGCAGUAGCCAUGACUACUCUAUUGACCAGCUCCUGCCCACAGACAUCAUGUGAUUAGACAUCUCGACACCACAGUGCAACAUCCUUUACCAUUAUCCUCUAAGUGAGUUUCACUCCAUCACCACCACAACCCACACCCCAUACUAAGCAGGGGGCAGUAAUAAAAAAUGGGGGGAAUUAA